AACGAUACUCUAAACAACGGCUUCCAACAACCCGCUUCAACUAGUAGCGGCGGCUGCGUCGCCGUUCCCAGCACAUGCAGCGCAGGCACAGAGGAAGAAGCAGACAUUGCGGAAGACUACGAGAGCAGUUGGACUCCCGAUCACACCUGUAAUGCCGAAGAAAUCGAGCAGUACUUCAAGACCCUGGGCAAUACUCUACUCUUCGCGGAGGUCCAGAGCUGACGUCCAUACAUGUGAUUUCAUGCAUACACAGACGACACCGAUAAUGGAAGCGCCGCCUUCCAACUUCCGAUCUCCAGCACGAGUGUCGAGGAAGCAAUGCCGAGUACGAGCGAUGGAGAUAUUGAAGCAGCACCAGACUUAUUGAGAACCGAC